rnacentral:tRNA from 1 species
GGACUGUGGCUCAGUGGUAAAGCACUCGCCUAGCAUGUGUGGGGCACUGGGUUCGAUCCUCAGCACCA